rnacentral:rRNA from 1 species
CUGGGCUUGACAUGCAUCUGCAUGCCGGUUGAAAGACCGGUCGCCUUCGAGGGUGAUGCACAGGUGCUGCAUGGCCGUCGUCAGCUCGUGUCGUGAGAUGUUGGGUUAAGUCCCGCAACGAGCGCAACCCCUGUGACUAGUUGCCAGCGCGUAAUGGCGGGGACUCUAGUCAGACUGCCCAGAUCAACUGGGAGGAAGGUGGGGACGACGUCAGGUCAGUAUGGCCCUUACGCCCAGGGCUGCACACGUACUACAAUGCCCAGCACAGUGAGAACCGAUACCGCGAGGUGGAGGAAAUCUGCAAAACUGGGCCCAGUUCGGAUUGGAGGCUGCAACUCGCCUCCAUGAAGCCGGAAUCGCUAGUAAUGGCACAUCAGCAACGGUGCCGUGAAUACGUUCCC